UACGUAGGGGGCAAGCGUUGUCCGGAAUCAUUGGGCGUAAAGAGCGUGUAGGCGGCCCGAUAAGUCCGCUGUGAAAGUCCAGGGCUCAACCCUGGAAUGCCGGUGGAUACUGUCGGGCUCGAGUCCGGAAGAGGCGAGUGGAAUUCCUGGUGUAGCGGUGAAAUGCGCAGAUAUCAGGAGGAACACCCGUAGCGAAGGCGGCACUCUGGGCCGAUACUGACACUGAGGAGCGAAAGCGUGGGGAGCAAACAGG
rnacentral:rRNA from 1 species